UGUAGCGGUGAAAUGCGUAGAGAUUUGGAGGAACACCAGUGGCGAAGGCGACUUUCUGGUCUGUAACUGACGUUGAGGCGCGAAAGCGUUGGAGCAAACAGGAUUAGAUACCCUGGUAGUCCACGCCGUAAACGAUGAGUGCUAAGUGUUAGGGGGUUUCCGCCCCUUAGUGCUGCAGCUAACGCAUUAAGCACUCCGCCUGGGGAGUACGGUCGCAAGACUGAAACUCAAAGGAAUUGACGGGGGCCCGCACCAGCGGUGGAGCCUGUGGUUUUAUUCGAAGCAACGCGAAGAACCUUACCAGGUCUUGACAUCCCGUUGACCACCGUAGAGAUAUAGUUUCCCCUUCGGGGGCAACGGUGACAGGUGGUGCAUGGUUGUCGUCAGCUCGUGUCGUGAGAUGUUGGGUUAAGUCCCGCAACGAGCGCAACCCUUGAUCUUAGUUGCCAUCAUUUAGUUGGGCACUCUAAGGUGACUGCCGGUGACAAACCGGAGGAAGGUGGGGAUGACGUCAAAUCAUCAUGCCCCUUAUGACCUGGGCUACACACGUGCUACAAUGGACGAUACAAACGGUUGCCAACUCGCGAGAGGGAGCUAAUCCGAUAAAGUCGUUCUCAGUUCGGAUUGUAGGCUGCAACUCGCCUACAUGAAGCCGGAAUCGCUAGUAAUCGCGGAUCAGCAUGCCGCGGUGAAUACGUUCCCGGGCCUUGUACACACCGCCCGUCACACCACCAGAGGUUUAACACCAGAA
rnacentral:rRNA from 1 species